ACAACCUCACCCCAAACCCCUCUAGUCCUUUCCACCUUUCUCUUUCUCUCCCCCCACCUUCCUGCAUCCCUCUACCAGGAGGAGAUUCUGUUUCAUGAAGUGUCUUUUUAAUGAGAAGGAGCUCUCCACAACCAGCUACAGAGAGAGUAAGUAAGCAAGAAGGGCAGAGAGAGAAGCAAGAUCUCUCUGUGAAAAACGAGAGACGGACUGGCUUAUCUCACAACAAUUCUGGUGACUCCGCCGGGACGUCUCGCUUGCCUGAGGGCUCCCCUGCGUGAGACCGCCUGAAAGCUCACCAACCGGCACAGGAUCCUUUGCAUUCCAUAGAAGCCUUCAAUGUCUGUGGUCCUCUGCUGCCCUGAUGCAGACCUUGCCGUUGGAGGAGCAUCUUCACACCUCCCACCAGGUGACUGGAUCUGGAUAAAGUCUUUUUCCAGGACCACUGCUUUGGCGUCUUCCUGGUUGGGUGUGUACCAGAUACUCCUUACCACUCAUACAGCUGUCAAGAUCGCUAAGUGGAAUACCUGGAUCCAUCACAGCCACAUCAAACCUGCUGUCAUCAACCACAGCCAAGAGGUUGCCAGACCCGUUCCGGCUCUUAAGCUCAGGAGGGACCCAAAAGAAGACAGGUGGUACAUUGCCAGCCUGUUCCAAGAUGCCUGACAUCUGAUGGCCACCCUGCAUGAACUGUGUGAAUCUGAAAGUGCUUGCUUUUCUGUGUUCCUAAUUUGUUCCCUUAUAAUCAUUGUUUUCAUUUGCCUUUGGUGUGCCAAGCCAUUUUACCAAGCAUACUGGUGUGGAAAACCGAAAGAGGUAAGAUGGUGGGCCUCCUACGAUCUGUGUCCAACAACUUCCAUGGGGCCAUGGCCAGUCUAAUGCUGAUUCUUACCAUAUGUACUUCUCUCCCUAUGGAGCCUAGUAUGUGUUGGUUAUGCUUUGCUUGUAGACAACAGAAAUGUGCUGUUCCAUAUAGUUACUUACAGCCAUAUUUCAUUAUCACCCUAUACCAGUCCAUGGCCUCUUGUGAUGCAGAAGAACUGGUAAUUACUGUUCAAGACGGUAAACAAUUGUGUAUUUCUCCCUUAACCCCCCAGUGUGCAAAAAUCAAAGUCCUAUGGCAGAAAAACUACUCCAUGCAAAAAUGGGGUGUGUUAUCCCAUGUCAGUCCAUUGCCUGAAUGGGAAACAGACACAGCUCAAAACCAAAUGCUAUACAACAUAUAUCUAUCCUUCCAUAUCCCUUUCCCAGACCUUGCUAAAGAACAUAAUUCAGUACUUGGACUGCUGCAAUUUACAGCUACCCAUUUAAAUCUCAAGACCUGUUGGCUAUGUCUGCAUUCAGGUAUCACCCCCCAGGAUUUAUUACCCUUUAGAGUACUCCCACUCACUCCCAUGGAAUUAACAUCCCCUUAUUGAUUGGAUGAUGACACACUCCAUAAGAAUAGUACAUGGCGUGACUAUCAAAUUCCCAGUAACACAUAUUGGUCUGUAACACCCACUCCAGGGUACCAUUGUGUUAGAAAUUGCACAACAAAAAGUUGUACUGUUUUGGGAAUAAGCAGGUGCAAAUGGGCACAGCAUUGGUGGACUCAUUCUGUAUACAAUGGUCCAAUAGAUUGCACCACGUGGUAUGCUAAAUGGAACAAGACCUGCGAGGCUAAACAACAUGAGUUACACUGGCCAAGGGGAUGUGAUUUAGCAGGCCAGCCCUGCUGGGAUAAAAAUAUAACUGAGGGUUUACAUUGGUUUAAUGAGACAAAGCUUGGCUGGAAAUCUGCAACUAGUUUUGUUACUGGUUUUACACCAUUCUUCUUAUCAAAUACAUCUUGGGCAUUUAGUGUCUGAAAAUGCAUAGAGUCCAGUCAACUGGGAGUAUAUGGGGACUCACAUUUUUGGAAUAGUUUGCCAUGGGAAGGGUAUAAUGAAGAACCACUCUCCUCAAAGUACACCUAUGAAACAUAUCAAGGGUAUGCCCCAAACGGAAAAGAAGCACUAUCAGGACAUUAUUGGAUUUGUGGCAACAAGGCUUAUAAAGCCUUACCUGAAAAUUGGGCUGGGAUCUGUUACAUUGGAACAUUGCUUCCUCCUUUUCAUAUUCAUUCUCAUGAUACUCCUGCCAUUUAUCACCCUCACCUUUAUUUUCGUGCCAAGCAUGAACUUAAAGACUCCAAACAAAUUGUAAAUGACUAUGCUCCUCUCACCUGGUCAUGGAUACGGAUCAGGGGCGUUCGUACCAUGACAAAUGCUAUAAUACGUUUGCAAGCAGUAGUAGAGAUCUUGCUAAUGAAACAGGGGAGGCACUGCUUCUUUUAAAUUCUGAGGUGCAACAAAUCCGCCAGAUGAUGCUCCAAAAUCAUUUAGCAUUGGAUAUGCUAUUAGGCCAGAGGGGCCCCCUCUGUGGAUACUUAAACAUAACUGACUGUUGCACAAAAAUUGACGAUAAUGGAAACCUCAUAACAGAUACUGUUCAAGAAAUUGCUAAGUUGACUAAGUGCGAGUACAACCUCAGCCCACUGAUUGGUGGUCGUGGUUGUGGUCCUGGCUUCCUAAUCUUAGUUGGUUAAAAUGUCUUGCUGUCAGUCUUAUAAGCCUCAUCUUCUCUCGUUCUGAUAUGUUGCUGUUUCCAGUGUAUAGGUAAUCUGCCUAACAUUAUGAACAUGUUUUUCUCUUGGUGUAAACCUCAAGCAGUUAAAAUGCAGAUGCUGACUAUGAAUGGGGUUAAUGAAAUACAAGCAAAAAUUGAUGCCCAAUAUUACCAGUAUUCCCAGAAGUGACCCUCUGAUAUGCAGGCAUUCAGAAGGGUCUAAGGGGGGAUUGUUGAGAUUUUGGGGCUCACAAACCCAUCUUUUCCCACAAAUCUAUUUUCCUGUCUUUAUGAAUCUCAUUCAGGGAAGUUUGUUCUGAGUUACUUUUGCUCUACAAUUCUAUAGGCAGCACACACUGACAUCUUAGUGAAGGCCACUUUCACUUGCUAUCCUAUGUUAUGGCUUCAAGCCUUCAGGCAAAGCAGGCUGAUAACGCUUGUUCAGCAGAAUGCAAGGCUGAAGCAGGGCAGACUUGAAAACUAUGUAGAGAAUACACAAAGAACAAUUUGAAACUAUUGUAACUGGAACUUAGCCAGCAAGUGUGAAUGAUGGAGUGUGCCAUAUAUGGUGUGUUUCCUGCAACCUCAGUGCCUGAGGAUAUAAGAAACCCAUGUCUAAUGUCUAUUGCUGGUCGACCCCAAUCAUCUUGCUGAUGACUG